CCUACGGGCGGCUGCAGUGGGGAAUAUUGCACAAUGGGCGCAAGCCUGAUGCAGCCAUGCCGCGUGUGUGAAGAAGGCCUUCGGGUUGUAAAGCACUUUCAGCGGGGAGGAAGGCGGUGAGGUUAAUAACCUCAUCGAUUGACGUUACCCGCAGAAGAAGCACCGGCUAACUCCGUGCCAGCAGCCGCGGUAAUACGGAGGGUGCAAGCGUUAAUCGGAAUUACUGGGCGUAAAGCGCACGCAGGCGGUCUGUCAAGUCGGAUGUGAAAUCCCCGGGCUCAACCUGGGAACUGCAUUCGAAACUGGCAGGCUAGAGUCUUGUAGAGGGGGGUAGAAUUCCGGGUGUAGCGGUGAAAUGCGUAGAGAUCUGGAGGAAUACCGGUGGCGAAGGCGGCCCCCUGGACAAAGACUGACGCUCAGGUGCGAAAGCGUGGGGAGCAAACAGGAUUAGAUACCCGGGUAGUC
rnacentral:rRNA from 1 species